rnacentral:rRNA from 1 species
UACGGGGAAUCAGGGUUCGAUUCCGGAGAGGGAGCCUGAGAAACGGCUACCACAUCUAAGGACGGCAGCAGGCGCGCAAAUUACCCAAUCCAAACACUGGGAGGUAGUGACGAGAAAUACCAAAGCGUGCCUUAUGGUUCGCUAUUGGAAUGAACGUAACAUAGUACCUUCGAUGAGUACCUACUGGAGGGCAAGUCUGGUGCCAGCAGCCGCGGUAAUUCCAGCUCCAGUAGUGUAUAUCAAAAUUGUUGCGGUUAAAACGCUCGUAGUUGGAUUACAAAUGCUCCAGGUCGACGAAUCAACAGAUUAGUUGGCCUGGGGUCUUUUUAUCGCAAGAACCGCCCGUGCACUUGAUCGUGUAUGGACGGCCACUUGCGGAGCGUGCCUUGAAUAAAGCACAGUGCUCAAAGCAGGCGUAACGCUUGAAUGUUAUAGCAUGGAACGAAUACUCUGACUCUAGUUUGAUUGGUUUUUUAAACUGGGUCAUGAUUAAAAGGGACAUUUGAGGGCGUUAGUACUUGGUGGCGAGAGGUGGAAUUCUUAGACCCACCAAAGACUCACAAAUGCGAAAGCAUUCGCCAAAAAUGUUUUCAUUAAUCAAGAACGAAAGUUAGAGGUUCGAAGACGAUUAGAUACCGUCCUAGUUCUAUACAGUAAACUAUGCUACCACGAGACUAGUCCGGAGGGCAGUCCAGGUUAGUCUCCCAAGGAAACUGAAAGCUUUCGAGUUCCUGGGGGAGUACGGUCGCAAGACUGAAACUUGAAGGAAUUGACGGAAGGGCACCACCAGGAGUGGAGCCUGCGGCUUAAUUUGACUCAACACGGGGCAACUCACCAGGUCCAGACAUUGAAAGGAUCGACAGACUGAUAGAUCUUUCGAGAUCCGAUGAUUGGUGGUGCAUGGCCGUUCUUAGUUGGUGGAGUGAUCUGUCAGGUCUAUUCCGGUAACGAGCGAGACUACGAUCUCUAUUUGAUUGCGGCUCCUUCUUUGAAGGGGCUGGUCAUAGAGAGACCACCGGAGACAAGCCGGGGGAAGCGUAGCAAUAACAGGUCUGUGAUGCCCUUCGAUGUUCUGGGCCGCACGCGCGCUACAAUGGCAGUGACAACAAGUGUCUGCGUUGAGAGACGUGGAAAAUCUUGACAAUCGCUGUCGUGAUUGGGAUUGAGCCUUGUAAUAAUUGCUCAUGAAAGAGGAAUUCCUCGUAAGCGCGAGUCAUCAACUCGUGUUGAAUACGUCUCUGCCCUUUGUACACACCGCCCGUCGCUACUACAGAUUGAAUGUUUGUUCGAGAAGUCGGGAUUGGAGGUCGCGAGGCCUCUGAGAGCUAC